AUUGAACGCUGGCGGCAUGCCUUACACAUGCAAGUCGAACGGCAGCACGGGAGCAAUCCUGGUGGCGAGUGGCGAACGGGUGAGUAAUAUAUCGGAACGUGCCCAGUCGUGGGGAUAACGUAGCGAAAGCUACGCUAAUACCGCAUACGAUCUAUGGAUGAAAGCGGGGGAGUCGCAAGACCUCGCGCGAUUGGAGCGGCCGAUAUCAGAUUAGGUAGUUGGUGAGGUAAAGGCUCACCAAGCCGACGAUCUGUAGCUGGUCUGAGAGGACGACCAGCCACACUGGGACUGAGACACGGCCCAGACUCCUACGGGAGGCAGCAGUGGGGAAUUUUUGGACAAUGGGCGCAAGCCUGAUCCAGCAAUGCCGCGUGCAGGAUGAAGGCCUCGGUUGGUAACUAGU
rnacentral:rRNA from 1 species